rnacentral:rRNA from 1 species
GACAGAGGGUGCUAGCGUUGUUCGGAAUGACUGGGCGUAAAGGACGCGUAGGCUGUUUAUCAAGUCAGAUGUGAAAGCCCCGGGCUUAACCUGGGAACUGCAUUUGAUACUGAUGGACUGGAGUGCGAGAGAGGAAAGUGGAAUUCCUAGUGUAGAGGUGAAAUUCGUAGAUAUUAGGAGGAACACCAGAGGCGAAGGCGGCUUUCUGGCUCGCAACUGACGCGUGGAGGCCGCGAAAGCGUGGGGAGCAAACAGG